GUGUUUGCUUUGACAGCAUGUAUACUAAAAAUUGGAACAAUAUAGAGAAGAUUAGCACGGCCCCUGCCCAAGGAGAGUACGCAAAUUGGUGAAGGGCUCCAUACUUUA
ensembl:snRNA U6 U6 spliceosomal RNA